rnacentral:tRNA from 1 species
GCGGGUGUAACUCAAUGGUAGAGUGACAGCCUUCCAAGCUGAUUACGAGGGUUCGAUUCCCUUCACCCGCU